UGGUGAAUUUUUGACAAUAUUCUCACUCCUUAUCCAUCCCUUCCUCUUUCAUUAUUAAUUCCUUCUUUUUUUAAACUUCUUUUUUACUUCUCUAAACUUUCUUCCCUAAUACUGUUUUCUCCUUACUUUACCUUAAUAAUAAUCACCUUCUAACUACUUGCCAGCAGCCGCGGUAAUACGUAGGGUGCGAGCGUUGAUCGGAAUUACUGGGCGUAAAGCGUGCGCAGGCGGUUAUAUAAGAUAGAUGUGAAAUCCCCGGGCUCAACCUGGGACCUGCAUUUGUGACUGUAUAGCUAGAGUACGGUAGAGGGGGAUGGAAUUCCGCGUGUAGCAGUGAAAUGCGUAGAUAUGCGGAGGAACACCGAUGGCGAAGGCAAUCCCCUGGACCUGUACUGACGCUCAUGCACGAAAGCGUGGGGAGCAAACA
rnacentral:rRNA from 1 species